GAUCGCGUAGCCAAGUAGUAAGGCAAGUGUCUGCAAAACACUCAUGCGUGGGUGCAAUUCCCACCGCGAUCUCAA
rnacentral:tRNA from 1 species